GUCAGCACUUUGUUACAAAUGUUCAUUUCAGUAAUUUCACACCACAGCAUUUGUCCACUGUAGCUGCAAUUACAAUUAUCAUUUUACCUUUCAGCUUACACUACAUUGAUUUGUCUAUGCACAAAAACAGCCAUAGCCAAACAGCAUCAAUAGAAACAAGUCAUUUUACAAAUCAGUUGGGGAUUAAACAGCAUUUGCCAAAACAUUGCUACAUCCUUGAGAAACAAGAAUUUUAUCUGCACAGACAAAACAUUUGUGGCAAAAAUUGUGCAUAAUGACCUUGCGUGACUUGACUUGCGUAAUGUAUUGUGUUAAUUGUGGGUGGUGAGAUUUCCAUGGCAAAGUACUUGGAUUUUUGGACUCAUAUCUACUAAAAAAGAACAAUGUAGAAGACUCUCAAGCAUUUACUAUAUACACCAAAUACUAUAUUUACUUAUAGUCUAUACAUUGGUUCUAUAUUGUUUUUAACUCACAAAAGUGACCAGCCAUCCUGUUUCAGCAACAUAGACAGACCUAACCAGGCCUACAGCACAACAUUGAAUAGUGGCCUAUGUA